rnacentral:rRNA from 1 species
GCAUAUAAGUAAGCGGAGGAAAAGAAACUAAAUAGGAUUCCCUUAGUAAUGGCGAAUGAACAGGGAUCAGCUCAGUAUGGAAAUCGGGGCUUCCCAGCCUUGAAUUGUAGUCUCAAGAGGUAUCGCCAACGGAGGCGCAGAUGUAAGCCUCUUGGAAAAGAGCAUCAAUGAGGGUGAGAAUCCCGUUUGUCAUCUGCAGUCCCCCGUGCACGGUGUAUCUUCUAAGAGUCGCGUUCCUCGGGAUUGGAGCGUAAAGUGGGUGGUAAAUUUCAUCUAAGGCUAAAUAUGGGUUCGAGACCGAUAGCAAACAAGUACCAUGAGGGAAAGAUGAAAAGGACUUUGAAAAGAGAGUUAAAAGUGCCUGAAAUUGCUGAAAGGGAAGCGAAUGGAACCAGUGCUCUUGGCGAGAUUGUUGUGCGCUAUGGUGAUUGCUGGCUGCUUCAGCGCAAGCGGGGUAGUUGGUACUGAGCCUGCCGCGCGCAGUGUUUCUUACCUUGUGCGUCACCGUCGGUUCACAGGCGAGGAUACUUCUGAGGACAUGGUAACUCUUCCACGGAGGUGUGAAUGUCUUUGGUAAUACUCGCUUGUAGACCGCUCACCUUCGGGUUACGA